CAAAUCCAACGUCUCACCCGAGACACCGUUGAAAUACUUUGCUGCUGGUGUGGUGUAGCGUGGCAAUAUGGGGAAGGGAAGGGAAAGGAGAUAGAUUACUACUACUACUACUACUACUUUUCUUCUGUGUUGCCCGCUCGCUCGCUUGCGCUAACUCACUAGACAUCGUUGAUCAUUUGUAUGCUUCUUUAACGAGAAA
rnacentral:misc_RNA from 1 species